AGGGCAGCAAGUUUGGACCCGACCCAAACACUCAUAUUUCGGCCCAUGAGGCCCAUUAAACUUAAUAUAUAAGCCACCACUUUUCCCUAUAUCACUUCACACGACUUAAACAGAUCCAAGAACCCUUAUUUUCUCUCCCAAACCCCCUUUCUAAUUGAGCCAUCAUAUAAGCUAAAUCCUAGACCCUUGACAUGAUAUUAGUUAAAGAGAAGUUGUAGCCUAAGUUUUCCUUGUGUUGUAAGCAAGAAGCUGGAAAGAGGAACAAGAUUCUUGAAGAUUCUGAUUGUUAAAGGAUAAGUGUUUUUGGGCAGCAAGUACAAGUUAUAAUACGACUAAACGCUAAAGGUACAGACGUUCAUUUCGGAGAUCCGCCAGCUUAGGACACUUAUUCAGCUAUUUUGACUGCUCCUUUGUUCCGGAGCCUAGCUUUUGGUAUAACUCCCUUAUGUUGAAUUCAUAUGAGUUUAUUUGGGUACGGCGGGGCCCUGUCCCGCCAUAUGAUACGGUCAUUACUCUUAGAGGUCUGUGGACAUUUGUGUGGGUCUGUUUAUGGUUGUUGACGCGUUUUAUGAUUAUGACAUAUGUUUGGGGCGUACCCAUUCGUAAUGGCAGCCUUGUCGGCUUGCAUAUAUAUGUAUGUUUGGUAUGUUGCAUAUCGUGGCAGCCUUGUCGGCUUGCGUAGGAAUAUAUAUAUGUUGUUGUUUAAAAAUUUUAAUUAUUCAGGAGACAGGUGCCUACGACAUAC